UACGUAGGGGGCAAGCGUUAUCCGGAUUUACUGGGUGUAAAGGGGGCGCAGACGGCGAUGCAAGCUAGGAGUGAAAGCCCGGGGCCCAACCCCGGGACUGCUCUUGGAACUGCGUGGCUGGAGUGCAGGAGGGGCAGGCGGAAUUCCUGGUGUAGCGGUGAAAUGCGUAGAUAUCAGGAGGAACACCGGUGGCGAAGGCGGCCUGCUGGACUGCAACUGACGUUGAGGCCCGAAAGCGUGGGGAGCAAACAGG
rnacentral:rRNA from 1 species